AGCUUUGUGCAGUGGCAGUAUCAUAGACAAUGAUGUUUAUGCAAGGCGCGAUUAUUGCUAAUUGAAAACUUUUCCCAAAGAUAAUAGACUAAAACAAUUUAGGUCUGAGAAUGAAAUUUCUAGAUUAAGUCCCAUUU